rnacentral:lncRNA from 1 species
CAUCGCCACCUUUUCUCGCGGCCGCGGCGGUGUGGUCGCGGGAGGCGCCGCCGUGCCGGGGACUGAUCGGCGGCGAUGGGGCGGGGACGAGACGGGCGGAGGGGAGAAGGGGGUUCCCUUCCAGUGCUGGGCAUCUUUCUCAGCCGGAGGUGCUGCUGCUCUGGUUUCCCAGAGGGCUUCGUGUCUCAGAGGCUUCUUCUCCGGCCGGCCACCUCCCCGUCGGCACCGCACCGCCGGUGGCAGAAUCAGAUCGAUUCAUUCCGGGCCGGCGAGCCAACCAGGUGCGACUCCCGAUAUACUCAAACCCUUUUAUCAUCCCCCACUUGGUUGUAAAAUAUAAUUAUAUAAAAUUAUACAUGCGGACAAGAGGAGAAUAAAAUAGUUGAUAAUGAUUAGAGAAAUAUUAUGAUUGGUUGAAAAAAUAUAUGUGAGAAAAUUAAAUGAAUAAUGAUUAUGAUUGGUUGAAUUGAUGAGGCAUGUGAAGAAGUAGCUUCAUUUAAAAAAAAGUGGGUGGUAGAAAUAUCCCAUUUUGGGACUAUACGAGCAUCUUUUUUAACUAACCAGGGAUGAAAAUAGAUAAGAAAUGAACGAAAAAUAGUUUUAUCAUAUUUGUCUUCAUAUUUUUAUUUAGUCAGGAUCAGAAUCGGAAACCCUUAUAUAAAAACUGAAUGAAAUAUCAUCGUAAGCGAAUAUGAAUCGGUACAUAUACGGUAAUGAAUGUUUAUCGGAACAUAAAAGGCCCUUAUAACUUAUUGUAUAUAAAAAAUUCAAUUUGUUUAAGUUUUAGCGAUCAUAUGUACAUAUGGAUAUAUCAUAUAGACAAUUACAAACUAAUAAUAUUACUUGGCUUCAUACCAAUAAAUAUCUGGUUACUACAAAUAUAUUGUAUUAUUAUAAAAGAAUACCGUAUUUAACGAAUUAUAUUGAAAAACAUGUCAUCAUAAAUAACAUGCGUCUUUUUAGCCAAAAAAUAACAUGACCCUUUAGUUCUUACCACCAUGGAUUUUGGAUUUUAGUUUUUUUUUCCCAAAAUGAAUAAAUUCAAAUUUAGAAUUAAUAAAUACAAAGUUGUCUCCAUCUUGAAAUCACAAAUUAACAUUUUGUAUUUUAAUUGUAAAAUAUAACAAGAUAACACUACAUAUAGUUUUGUAGUAAAAUACCAUAUUUAAAAAUAAAAAUAAUUUAGCUGAGUACAUGUAGCGAGUACUACUAGUGCAUUACAUGUAGCGGGCACAUAUUUCUGCCGUCGCUUGAUUGGGGUGCACAUUUUGGAUCUGGACUCUCCUUGAUACGAUGAAAACGAUGCAAGCAAGUAUGAUUCUUAUAGUUCAAUUUGUGGUUAUCUGCAAUAUUGCAUAGGAUACACGGGUUUGUUCGGUUCAUGUCAUUUGCCAGAAAUGCUUGUAAAAACACACAUAGUACAGAUGGGGAAGAGGGGAACCCCAGGCAUGUGGAAACUAAUGCAUUUGAUUUGACACCCAAAUAAUUUUUGCAUUACCAAGAAUAACACCAUAUUUUUUCCGUUUCACUUAUGCUUAUAAGUCAAAAUUUAAAUUUUUAUUCUUAAAUUUAAAAUUGAUUUUGAGAUUUUAUUUAUCGUAGUUUUUUCGGUCUUGGCUUUUAGAUGACUAAGAACACAUAUAUAAAAGUUUUCAUUAAUAAAUUAUUUUUUGUUUUCAAAUAUACUGUUUGAUAAUCACCUUGUGACCACAACCAUCUCAAACUAAUGUUUGAACUGAAGCUCGAGCAAGGGUGGAUUUAACGUGGGGGCAGAGGUUGGGAGGGACUCGAUCCUCCGCUACCCCGUUAAAGCCAUUGGAGCCCCCACGAAGUUUCCCCUAAAAUAUUAUGGCAAACAUCAAUAAAAACGGGGCUGAAACUCUAUCUAACUUGUUCAGACCCCUGUAAUAUCGUUGGCUAGAUCUACCACUGAGCUCAAGGACACCACUCUCAAACAUUCAUAGCCACAUUGUUAUUUACAAUCGAAUAUAAACACUCAUGCAAAAAAAAAAGAAAAAAAAAGAGAACAUGAGCACAAUGCAUAAAAAUCAGAGGCGGAUCCAGCCAGGUGAGAGAGGAGGGCUAAUUGACUUCUUUCUCAUUUAGGUCCUACCCUUCAUUCUUUUCUCUUUUUUUCCCUACUUUUUUCUUAUCUUUCAAGGGGAUCCAACAAAUAGGGGGGCUUGAGCCCUCAGCACCCACGUUAGAUUCGUCCCUGCAAAGAAGAUACAUUCCGAUAGAGCAUGGUGUCACACACAUUCAAGAGAGGGAAGAUAUCACAUUGCACAAGUCGAAUAAUCUUUCUUGAAUAUACAAUGCUUUCACAAGUUCGCCAACCCCUGACUGGAUCUGGUCUCUCUGGAUGAGAUGAAAAUCACGCAGGCUAAGGCCUUGUUUAGUUUGCAAUUUUUUUUGCAAAAACAUCACGUCAAAUGUUUAGACACACAUUUAGAGUAUUAAACAUAGUCUAAUUAUAAAACAAAUUGUAGAUUUCGCCUAGAAACCGCUAGAUGAAUCUUUUGAGUGUAAUUAAUCCGUCAUUAGCACAUGUUGGUUACUGUAGCACUUAUGGCUAAUUAUGUUCUAAUUAGGCUCAGAAGAUUCGUCUCACGAUUUCCUCCGUAACUGUAUAAUUAGUUUUAGUGUUCAUGUAUAUUUAAUGCUUCAUUUAUAUAUUCAAAGAUUCGAUGUGAUGUUUUUGGGAAAAAAUUUGGGAACUAAACAGCCCCUAAUAUGAUUCAUAUUUUGGUUUGCGGUUUUCUGCAGCCUACCCUAGGAUAGUAGGAUGUUGGCUGCGUUCGGCUCUCCCGCCGCUAACCUUAGAUUUCCUCGUUUUUCGUGCGUAUGCUUCCCGAACUGAUAAACGGUGUAUUUUUUACGAAAAUUUUCUAUAGGGAAGUUACUUUAAAAAAUCAUAUUAAUCUAUUUUUAUAAUUUUUUAUAAUUAAUAAUUAAUUGAUUAUGUACUAAUCUAUUACCACGUUUUCUGCAGUAGAUAACUAACCCUCGCACACAUGCCGAACGCGGCCGUAGUUUGGUUUGUAGUUUGUAUCCAAUGGUGUAUCUAGAAUCUUAAAUUUGGGUGGUCCAAUUUAAUAUUUUUUAUACCAGUAAAUAUAUCAUGUAAAAAAAAUACAAAACAACUAUAAAAUUGUUGAAAAAUCAUCCUAAGAUAUUAUUAAGAAAGUUUUUUUUCUUUUUUUUUUCUUAAAUUGAUUUAUUUUUGUUUCUCUCUCUAUAUGUGUGUGUACGCCACCAGAUAUACCCUGUUUGUGUCCCUUGUCAGAAAUGCUUGCGAAAAUCAACGGACCUUGAUGGGUAACCAUGGAAGAGACCCGGGGAGACAUAAGAGCACCUCUGGAACACACGGCAGACGGCCACUCCCGUCUUGUCCACAUAAGUUUGAAAAUCGUGCACAUGCAAAACAAGUAAGUAAAAGUUAGAAAUGGAAGAAAAGAACACAACCAAAAACACAAGAAGUUUGGAAGAUUUCAAUCUUAUACAUAUGACAAUUUUCUACAUAAGUCCUUGAAACGAAUAACUGAAUCCUAUCAUUUUCUUCGAAAUUCCUAUAUGUUGAGCAAUCCUAUAGACACUUCCAAGAAAAAUAAGUAUGAUGUUGUUCUAUCUCGUUACUAUAAAUUUUUAUGUCUCUCAUAUAUAUUAAUCAAACAAUUUUGAAACCUUCAUGUGUUUUUAAUUCCGGUAGGAACUCAGUGGGCAUGCCAUUCUAUUACUACGUUCUUUCUGUUACUACGAUUGUACAAUCCUGCAUUUCAAAGGGACACUAAUUUUAAUUUUCUCAUUACAACACACAUGCAAGUUGCUAGUUAAUCCUGAAUUUACGAACUAUCAAAUUGAGAAAACAGAAAGUUGUGGAAAUAUUUGGGUGGGUUCUAUAUAUGAUUUUGUAAUUACUAAUUUUGAUUUUUGGAACUACUAAUAAAAUUAAUUUGUUUCGUUCCUGAGUACUUAUAAUCCUUCUUAUAUGUAAUUUGCAUAUCAUUUGGUGUAGAAGGUAUAUGCUAUAAAUAGCCCAUGUGAAUGCACAUGUUACUGACUUAUGGAUCUAAAAGUAAGUUACAAGGAAUGAAUGUAGGUACUACCAGUGGAUAAUUUUGAACUAGUGGUUGGUUAAAUGCCGCAUGACUUGUUCCUAAGGACAAAGUUUUCCUGAUGCACUCUGACGAUCUCAAGAUGACAUGAAAUUAGUAACUUUAUUAUGUGGAUAUAAAAGUGAGUGACAGAGAAUAAAAAUAGGAACUGCCAGUGGAUAAUUUUGAAUAAAUAGUUGAUUAAAUGCUGCAUGUCUUGCUCCCAAAGGACAAAAUGUUCCUUCACGGAUGAAUUCUACAUAACAUAACAUGAUAAAGAAUCCAUUUAGCCUUUCAAAUGAUAUUUACCCAUCCAAUCAAUCAGCUUGAAGCUUGACCUGUGAUUGUUUGAUAAAUCGAUAUCUAGAACUGCUAUAUGGUUUUACCCUUCUACUUGUUCGUAGAAAAGAAUAUACGCCUGCCUUUCAAGAACUUCUUCUUGAGAACAUUCUUUGAUGUUCGCAUCGUUUGCAUGUGCCCACAAGAUUUUCUUCUCCUGGCCUGCAAUUCUGUUUGCUCUCACAUAGGCAGUGUAGUGACCUGCGUCUAAUGAGUUCCCAGUGUGUUGGAUGACGGCAACUAGAUGAUAGAUGCAUUUGGUAUUCUCUGAAGGUCUGAAGAUUAAAGGAAAAAAUAUUCACCACCAAACUCAAUUGGCAUAUAUUAAUAGUACUGAGUUACAAGUAAUGACCAAAAUUUUGAGAUAUGCCACUAACCAUCUUCAUAUAAUGCAUUGUAUUACCUCUAGAAACGUUCCUUGUUGACAAAGGAAACGCAUAUGAAAUGUAUAUUAUAGUUAGAUCAUAACUAGAGAUGAUUUGAAGUAUUCCAAAUUUCCAACAGAAUAAGGGAAUAUUUUAGUAGUGAAACUACACCAGGGUUCCAAAAACCAGUUUUUCCAGAACUACUGGCCUUGGUGAAAUGGCUGGUUACAGGAUUUUACCAGACAAAAAUUUCAAAUCCAAAAAUUUAAAUGUUAAACAGUAAAUGGUUACUGUACUGAAAAAAUAAUCUAAAUUUAAACUUUGAAUUGAUAUAACCUCAUAGCUCGUAAUUCACAUUUUGUUAAUCCUCCUAUCUGCUACUAGACUGUUGAUUGGCAUGGCACAUAGUAAUUAGUAAGAUUCAAACGUGUCAAAACAUUAUAUUACCUGGCUUCCAUGUACUUAGUAAUAUCAAGCAGCUCCUCAAAUUUCACACCUGACAUCAGUUUUUUUGGUGAACCUUCUGGAGAUUGCCAAUAUCUCUUCAGCUGAACUAUUAGUACUGGUGACACCUUGGUAAUGAAAAUUUGCUUUGUAGCAGAUCCCUUUUGGUCCACAGUAUUUCCAUCAGUACCAUUGCAGUGCUGACAGACAUAAUCACUGAGCUCAUCGCUUACAAAAUUAUCAAAACAGAUCUCGAUAGAUAUAGGAUCAUCUAUGUCAUAUACCCCAUCAUUUAUAUUAUUUAUUUUAUGUGUCGUGAUAUCAAUAUCUCUGUUUUGAUCUCUGUCUGUAGGUGGCAGCGAUGCACACUCCGGUAAAUGCUUCUUUGCCGGCAGAUCCAGACUGAGAUAAAGGCCUUCCUGCGGAGAAGUUGAUUGACCCUUACAUCUUUUACAUGUAACAGUUGUAGACAUCUCAAAACGGAAGGUAGGGUUGACAAUGGUAGAAUCAUUUCCCUCAUCCUCUUUCUUCAAACAAUUAAGCAAUAAGUUGAGCGUAUCAAUGCUGUCAUUCAUCUCACUUUUCUUGUAAUCUGGACCCUUUGAGCACAUUUCAUCAAACACCUUUCCUGCCUCUCUCUCCAGCGUAUCUUCUGCAUAGUUUGUACCAGCACUUGUCUUCUUGAAGAGAUCUUUCAGUUCUAAAAGUAUGGUCCCAUGCUGCACAUUCAAUUCUAUCAUCUUCCUGCGCAGUUCGUCAAGAACAAGAAGGCUCUGCAACACUGCAUUGAAAUGGCAUAUGUUUCCAGAAUUUGGCAUCCUUCUUACCACAUUCCCAAGCCUAUUACCCCACACUGGCAUGUCACCGACCACCCUGUGCUUGGUUAUUGCUGUCCCUUCCUCUUCCAUGUCUCUCCCUUCGACCAUACCUUCGCCGUGCCUCCUGCUUGCUGGUGCUGCGGCAUGCUCCUGGUGCUGGACUUUACUUGUAUUCGUAGCACGCUCGUCCGACCCUGACAUCUUUGUUACCAUCACAAACAAAAGAGUUGUAUGGAUCCUUAAGACUUCAAGUAAUCAAGACACUGAAAACAAGAACUAAAUGGAGUAUGGGAUUGUCACAUCAAAUACUGAAGUGCAAAUAAGAUUUGUAUGGAGGAACCAACAAAGAGGAACAAAGGGAAAAAUGAAUGAAAAUUCAACCAAGGACUCCAUGAAAUUAAUUGGCACACAUCAAGAACGAAUAAUGUGUUAUAUGAAAGGAAAUAAAAUUUACUGAGUUAAUAAAAACAAUCAGUAGAUUACAGUAGCACGGCCAACAUGUUGAUUAGGAAAUGGGAUGUUUACUAUAUGAAUAAUUUUACAGUCCUUGAAUAGGUACUUUGUGUGAAAUUUUGGUACCUCUUGGUACCUUAUCAAGGACUACAAAAUUACUCUUACUAUAUUCAAAAAGUAUAAAAAAUAAGAACUGUUGGAUUGUGCAAGCCAAUACAAUCAUAAGUGUUGAGGCUUAAAAUAAGAAUACCCUAGAUAAUAAGAAGAAUUAUAGUGUAAAAUAAUGUGGGCUACAUUAAAUAUCAGUAUAUUGAAGCAUGAUAUACAUUAUAAAUGGCCUUCUCGAAGGCACACUGGACAAUAUAAGGCAUUCAUGAAAAAUAAGAAGCCAUAUUCAUGAAUUAACCAUUAAGCUAUAUAAUUGAAGACCAUUCCUAUAUUGUUUGGAAAGGGGAUAUCACUUCUUAGUUAAUAUAUGUUUCACUCAUAUAGAAUACUUAAGGCAAUACUCAGUUGACAUGCUACUUCGAAUUCUUAUAGGUUUAUUUUUGUGUUAAACCAAUGAUGAGUUGCUUUAUGUAUAAAUGAGUUUUCUUCUUACAACUGGGAAACAAUUCUCAUGUUCCCUAAUCCCCAUGAAAUCUGAGUUGGAAGACUCAGAAGAUAACUCGGCAAUGGGAACAAGUUAGCAUACCACAGGAUCUGGUUUAACUUGCAUUUGCUCAGAUUGGUCGCUGGAGGAAACUGUAGACAUCCUGACACACGCGUCCUCAAUAUUUGGCAUGUUGGUAGCAUCAGCUUUCUCCCCCAAUCCAUUUUGCAUGAAGCCCUGAAAGUGAAAGCUACGCUGCAUCAUCUCAUGGCUACGGAAUUUUGUUUGCUCCGAGAAUAUUUCUGAUAAGUGGUUUUGCUCCAGAUUUCUGCCUAUACCAUUUGCACCAUUUGUAUCCAUGAAAACCAUAUUUAGCUCCGAAGUGAGAGAUCCUGCAACGGGAUCUCGCCUUAGCAUUGUCAUACGCAGGUUGUCUAACGCAAGGAAGCUCUGCAGGACUGCAUUGAAGUGGUAUCUGUUUAGGCUGGGGCCGUCCUCAUUAGCU